rnacentral:lncRNA from 1 species
UUGGAAGUGUCAUUGAAAAAUAUAUUAUUUAAGGAAGAAUGCGACAUUUACUAUGCAUGGGAAAAUAGAUAAGAAUGGUGUAUGGGUAUGGUUGUGAAAGUAUUUAGAAUGACGAAAAACACAGAAACGUGACAAAUGAAUAUGUAGUGGUUAAAAAGAUGAGAAUGAUGUGCUUAAGAGUUAAGAUAGAGCAAAAUAAAUUAAGCCUCACAUAAAAAUUAUACAGAUUAUGAGUCAUUGCAGUUACCCUAAGCUGGUUUCGAAAUACAUGAAUCUUGAAAACAAAAAUAGCUCGCGUUGAUU